rnacentral:rRNA from 1 species
AACCUGGUUGAUCCUGCCAGUAUCGCAUUUCUUAGUUAAAAGAUUAAUCCAUGCAUGUGUUUGGCAUCACUUGUGAUGCCUGCGGACGGCUCAUUAAAACAGAGUUAACCUCCUCUCAGAAACAGACGGAUAACUAUGCUAAUUGUGUGGCUAAUACGUGCGAUGAAUCUACGGAUUGCCCCAAUUAUUCCAAAAGCUCCUAACUUGAUUGUUUAUUGGGUGCUUAGACCUUGUGUCUAUUGAGAAUGGGUCUCUGAUCUAUCAGCUGUGGACGGUUGUGUAUUGGACAACCGUGGCUUUGACGGAUAACGGGGAAUUAGGGUUCGAUUCCGGAGAGAACGCAUGAGAAACGGCGUUCACAGCUAAGGUUGGCAGCAGGAGCGAAAACUUUUCAAAUAGGCAAUGCCUGAAAAGGUGACUAUCCGUAUCAACAACUGCUAUUUAGUAGUUGAUUGGAAUGGGAGACUUUUAGACCGAGUCUCGAGUAGCAAGUUCAGGGCAAGUCUGGUGCCAGCAGCCGCGGUAAUACCAGCUGAGCUAGAAAUGGGUAACAUUGUUGCAGUAAAAACGUACGUAGUCAUCUUUGUUUUUCUUCGGGCCUCCAAUGGCUCCGAAACUGAACGAUCCACAUCUUCUUACGAUGAUGUGAACUCCGCGAGUAAGCUAGAACGAUUAACUUGAAUGUUGUAUAUGACAGCGUGGGAAAUCUGAUGAUGCCUAUUGAUUACGUUGCUUAUCUUAAUCAUAGGGAUAAACUGUAGGAAUGAAUGAGGGCAUUAGUACUUAGUAGCUAGAGGUGAAAUUCCUAGAUUUACUAAUGACUGACUACUGCGAAAGCAUUUGCCUAAUUCAUUUUUGGUGAUCAAGUACUAAAGAGUGGGGAUCGAAGAGGAUUAGAUACCCUCGUAGUCCACUCCCUAAACGAUGCCGACUAGA